rnacentral:rRNA from 1 species
GACGAACGCUGGCGGCGUGCCUAAUACAUGCAAGUAGAACGCUGAAGGAGGAGCUUGCUCUUCUGGAUGAGUUGCGAACGGGUGAGUAACGCGUAGGUAACCUGCCUGGUAGCGGGGGAUAACUAUUGGAAACGAUAGCUAAUACCGCAUAACAUUGACUAUUGCAUGAUAGUCAAUUGAAAGGUGCAAAUGCACCACUACCAGAUGGACCUGCGUUGUAUUAGCUAGUUGGUGGGGUAACGGCUCACCAAGGCGACGAUACAUAGCCGACCUGAGAGGGUGAUCGGCCACACUGGGACUGAGACACGGCCCAAACUCCUACGGGAGGCAGCAGUGGGGAAUAUUGGACAAUGGGGGAAACCCUGAUCCAGCGACGCCGCGUGAGUGAAGAAGUAUUUCGGUAUGUAAAGCUCUAUCAGCGGGGAAGAAAANGA